UCCCUGGUGGCUCAGUGGUGAAGAAUCUGCCUGCCCAUGCAGGAGACACAGGUUCAAUUCCUGGUCUGGGAA
rnacentral:tRNA from 1 species